UGUUCGGUCGCUAGGGUGGUGUGGCGAUCUAUUGGGGUGGCUAUUGGUACCGAUAAGUGUCCUGAUAACUAUUGGCAAUUCUUUACUUGGUGCUAUUCCUUUCUUCCAGGAGGGGAUAAGUUUUAUACUGUUGGUCUUGCUGCCACCUGCUGGGCGAUCUGGCUUGCUCGCAAUAAGGCUACCUUUGAGAAAAAGCAAAUUAAGUCUCCCUUUGAAAUUGUGUUCUCUAUAUGCUCCUUUCUUUUGUAUUGGAUAGGACUGCAGAAGGGUGAUGACGCUGACAAGCUUCGCUCAGGUGCCGAGAUGAUCAGAGCCAGCACGAUGCAGCUGAUGAGACUUUGCGGGACCACUAUCCAGCCAAUUGGAGGAGCAUGA
rnacentral:rRNA from 1 species